rnacentral:rRNA from 1 species
AACGAACGCUGGCGGCAUGCCUAACACAUGCAAGUCGAACGAGACCUUCGGGUCUAGUGGCGCACGGGUGCGUAACGCGUGGGAACCUGCCCUUAGGUUCGGAAUAACUCCCCGAAAGGGGUGCUAAUACCGGAUAAUGUCUUCGGACCAAAGAUUUAUCGCCUUUGGAUGGGCCCGCGUUGGAUUAGCUAGUUGGUAGGGUAAAAGCCUACCAAGGCGACGAUCCAUAGCUGGUCUGAGAGGAUGAUCAGCCACACUGGGACUGAGACACGGCCCAGACUCCUACGGGAAGCAGCAGUGGGGAAUAUUUGACAAUGGGCGAAAGCCUGAUCCAGCAAUGCCGCGUGAGUGAUGAAGGCCUUAGGGUUGUAAAGCUCUUUUACCCGGGAUGAUAAUGACAGUACCGGGAGAAUAAGCUCCGGCUAACUCCGUG